UACGUAGGGUGCGAGCGUUGUCCGGAAUUAUUGGGCGUAAAGAGCUCGUAGGCGGCUUGUCACGUCGGAUGUGAAAGCCCGGGGCUUAACCCCGGGGUCUGCAUUCGAUACGGGGCAGGCUAGAGUUCGGUAGGGGGAGAUCGGAAUUCCUGGUGUAGCGGUGAAAUGCGCAGAUAUCAGGAGGAACACCGGUGGCGAAGGCGGGUCUCUGGGCAGUAACUGACGCUGAGGAGCGAAAGCGUGGGGAGCGAACAGG
rnacentral:rRNA from 1 species